AUUGAACGCUGGCGGAAUGCUUUACACAUGCAAGUCGAACGGCAGCACGGGGGCAGCCCUGGUGGCGAGGGGCGGACGGGUGAGUAAUACAUCGGAACGUGCCCAGCUGUGGGGGAUAACGGGGCGAAAGUUACGCUAAUACGGCAUACGAUCUUAGGAUGAAAACGGGGGACCUUCGGACCUCGGGCGAUCGGACGGGCCGAUGUCAGAUUGGGUGGUUGGUGGGGUAAAGGCCUACCAAGCCGACGAGCUGUAGCUGGGUUGGUAGGACGACCAGCCCACCUGGGCCUGGGCAACGGCCCAGCCUCCUCCGGGAGGCAGAAGUGGGGAAUUUUGGCCAAUGGGCGCAAGCCUGAUCCAGCCAUUCCGCGUGCAGGACGAAGGCCUUCGGGUUUUAAACUGCUUUUGUACGGAACGAAAAGGCUCUGGCUAAUACCUGCGGCUCAUGCCGUUACCGUAAGAAUAAGCACCGGCUAACUCCGUG
rnacentral:rRNA from 1 species